UACGGAGGGUGCGAGCGUUGUCCGGAAUCACUGGGCGUAAAGGGCGCGUAGGCGGCCCGGGAAGUCGGCGGUGAAAGCCCGGAGCUCAACUCCGGGUCGGCCGUCGAGACUCCUGGGCUCGAGCUCACUAGAGGCAGAUGGAAUUCCGGGUGUAGCGGUGGAAUGCGUAGAGACGCGAAGAACACCGGUGGCGAAGGCGGUCUGCUGGGGGUGAGGCUGACGCUGAGGCGCGACAGCGUGGGGGAGCAAAACAGGG
rnacentral:rRNA from 1 species